rnacentral:rRNA from 1 species
GACGAACGCUGGCGGCGUGCCUAAUACAUGCAAGUAGAACGCUGAAGGAGGAGCUUGCUUCUCUGGAUGAGUUGCGAACGGGUGAGUAACGCGUAGGUAACCUGCCUGGUAGCGGGGGAUAACUAUUGGAAACGAUAGCUAAUACCGCAUAAGAGUAGAUGUUGCAUGACAUUUGCUUAAAAGGUGCAAUUGCAUCACUACCAGAUGGACCUGCGUUGUAUUAUGUAGUUGGUGGGGUAACGGCUCACCAAGGCGACGAUACAUAGCCGACCUGAGAGGGUGAUCGGCCACCCUGAGACUGAGACCCGGCCCAGACUCCUACGGGAGGCGGCAGUAGGGCAUCUUCGGCGAUGGACGGCAGUCUGACCGUGCAACGCCGCGUGAGUGAAGAAGGUUUUCGGAUCGUAAAGCUCUGUUGUAAGAGAAGAACGAGUGUGCGAGUGGAACGUUCACACUGUGACGGUAUCUUACCAGAAAGGGACGGCUAACUACGUG